GCGAGUAUGGCCCUCACGGGUCUAAUCCGCCAUAAACCACCUUUGUGAAACCAGUCAGGGGGACUCGGGCCGUGAGAAGCCCAGGCGAUUAGCGGAAGGGCCCUCCUUUGCAAAACCCCGUUUUAGAAGUCUUGAAAGUACUUUUGUAUAAUCUAGUA
rnacentral:misc_RNA from 1 species